rnacentral:rRNA from 1 species
AGCAGCCGCGGUAAUUCCAGCUCCAAUAGCGUAUAUUAAAGUUGUUGCAGUUAAAAAAGCUCGUAGUUGAAUUUCGGGAUUAGUACGCUGGUCGUGCCUUCGGUAUGUACUGGUGUUACUGAUUCCUCCUUCUUGAAGAACUGUAAUGCCACUAAUUUGGUGUUGCAGGGAAUCAGGACUGUUACUUUGAAAAAAUUAGAGUGUUUAAAGCAGGCUUACGCUUGAAUACAUUAGCAUGGAAUAAUGAAAUAGGACGUUGAUCUUAUUUUGUUGGUUUCUAGGAUUGACGUAAUGAUUAAUAGGGAUAGUUGGGGGCAUUAGUAUUCAAUUGUCAGAGGUGAAAUUCUUGGAUUUAUUGAAGACUAACUACUGCGAAAGCAUUUGCCAAGGAUGUUUUCAUUAAUCAAGAACGAAAGUUAGGGGAUCGAAGACGAUCAGAUACCGUCGUAG